GUGUACAGAUGCUCAAAUCUUUCAUUCAUUGAUGGAAUGAUGGAGAGACGGAGCGACACGUCUUUCUCACGGAAGAGGAGUUUUACGUUCGGGGCAUAUGGAGGGAUUGACCGGUUCAUCGGUGACAGUGAGAGCAGCAUUCUGGACAUUUUAGACUCUCCGUCCAGUGAAACUAAACCACUCGUCCCCACCAACCUCACCAACCCCUCGAACCCUAACCAGAAGGU